GGCCCGAGAAGCUCCAGCUCGUACUCCGGAGGAACUCCAUACUGAAUCCUUAUCAGUGAGAGUUCAUCUGGAGUCAAGAAGCUGGGGAUGGUGUCUGACGCAAAGGCCAGACAAGGUUUGAUCCUAGCUACGGGUUCGUCUACGGUACCAGUACUGUGGGGAAUCGGGGCUGACGAACUUCUAGAACUGCUAGAAGAGGAGAUAUCAGA
rnacentral:lncRNA from 1 species